rnacentral:rRNA from 1 species
CUUGGUCAUUUAGAGGAAGUAAAAGUCGUAACAAGGUCUCCGUUGGUGAACCAGCGGAGGGAUCAUUACUGAGUUUACGCUCUACAACCCUUUGUGAACAUACCUAUAACUGUUGCUUCGGCGGGUAGGGUCCCCGUGACCCUCCCGGCCUCCCGCCCCCGGGCGGGUCGGCGCCCGCCGGAGGAUAACCAAACUCUGAUUUAACGACGUUUCUUCUGAGUGGUACAAGCAAAUAAUCAAAACUUUUAACAACGGAUCUCUUGGUUCUGGCAUCGAUGAAGAACGCAGCGAAAUGCGAUAAGUAAUGUGAAUUGCAGAAUUCAGUGAAUCAUCGAAUCUUUGAACGCACAUUGCGCCCGCCAGCAUUCUGGCGGGCAUGCCUGUUCGAGCGUCAUUUCAACCCUCAAGCUCUGCUUGGUGUUGGGGCCCUACAGCUGAUGUAGGCCCUCAAAGGUAGUGGCGGACCCUCCCGGAGCCUCCUUUGCGUAGUAACUUUACGUCUCGCACUGGGAUCCGGAGGGACUCUUGCCGUAAAACCCCCCAAUUUUCCAAAGGUUGACCUCGGAUCAGGUAGGAAUACCCGCUGAACUUAAGCAUAUCAAUAAGCGGAGGA